CCUACCGGGAGCGAGCAGGGAGCCGCAGCGAGCCGCAGCGAGCGACGAUUGGCCCGCGCCGCGCGGUGUGGUACUAAACUUGUUUCCCGGCUUCCUAGCAAAGUCGCCCAGGGACUGACGUGAGCCGCCCCCGGGUCGGAGUAAACCCUCCUGGAUCAUACGCGCUCCUAGAACAUACCUUGUGCUUUGGAGGUAUGUCCAACCUGCAGCGUGUAUCCCAGGAUGACCAUAAAUGCAUCCCAACACUUGUAGAUGUCAAAAGGAUGAACACCUGGGCGCUAUACUCUGAGUCUCGUCUGCAUUCAUCCUAUAACUGACUUUGAGAGAUAAUUCUGCCCUUCUCUUUGGCUAUUAGACUCUUGAAAUAAUGCACCCCAUGAAAUUGAGACAUAUGCUCCAGGAAUCUCAUGCAGGAGAAGGGAAAAGGCUGAAACCUAGGCCAACCAAAGGAGAAACUUGUCUGCUGGGAAGAGAUUUGCAACUUCAGGACAUCUUGCAGGGCAGACUGAAGCCGAGACGAUGAGACGGAUCAGUGAGGGGCAGGACCACACUUUGACCCAGCCUACUUAGUGAUGCAUAAUUCUGGCCUCUACUUGAAGUUAAAGUUCAUGCAGGACCCUGAAGGUAGACAUGGAGGAGGCUGUGUUAUUGAAUCUGCCUUUCUUUCUAAUAUGGCCACAUUGAAUAAAUCUUUUUUUGCUUUUCA